CUGGGGUGUUAGCCACCCCUCCCAGUUUGGUGUCAUCUGCAAACUGGGAGGGGUGGCUAACACCCCAG